CCUACGGGAGGCAGCAGUAAGGAAUAUUGGACAAUGCUCGCAAGAGUGAUCCAGCCAUGCCGCGUGCAGGAAGAAUGCCCUAUGGGUAGUAAACUGCUUUUGAACUAGAGAAAAUCCCAGUACGUGUACUGGGCUGAUAGUAUAGUUAGAAUAAGCAUCGGCUAACUUCGUGCCAGCAGCCGCGGUAAGACGAAGGAUGCAAGCGUUAUCCGGAUUCAUUGGGUUUAAAGGGAGCGUAGGUGGACUGAUAAGUCAGUGGUGAAAUCUCCGAGCUUAACUCGGAAAUUGCCAUUGAUACUGUUGGUCUUGAGUACAGUUGCUGUGGGCGGAAUAUGACAUGUAGUGGUGAAAUACAUAGAGAUGUCAUAGAACACCGAUUGCGAAGGCAGCUCACAAAGCUGUAACUGACACUGAGCUACGAAGUAGNGGGAGUACAACAGAUAGAUACCUCGUAGUCGCACCGUAACCG
rnacentral:rRNA from 1 species